rnacentral:lncRNA from 1 species
AAAAUGGCAAGAGGACACUCACACCCAUGAGCAUUUUUUCUCAUGAAUGUUUAACUAUUCUCUAACAAGAUUUUUAAAAUUAUUAUGCCAUCAUGUAUUUAAUCUUUCAUUUUUAGAUAUUUACAUUGUUUUCAUUUUUUUUCUAUUAUAAACAAUGCUAUGACAUAAAUAGCCAUGGGGCUAAAUAUUCAAAUAAUCAUAUUUUAGAGUACAUUCUUUACAGUGAAGUUAAUUGUUUGCUAAUAAACUGCCUCCUGGUACUGACCCAGAAGUGCUAUGGGGUGGCAUGUGUAGGGUGUGGCCAGGUGCCAGUGGUUUCAGGGCAUUUGUUGUAGGGUAUGCAAUGGAAAUGCUGGACACUGGGAGACUGCAUGAACUCUUCCAAUGAGGUCAGUUUGAGAAACUCAACACUUGACAAAUAGGGGUUAUGCAUGUCUCUAAAGUAAAUUCUGCUAAAUUAAUUUCUGUUCAGUGACACAGACCCACUUGGCCUUGGCUUUGGACUGCAGUGACCAGCAGAACAAAGUUAUGUGGGGUCAAGUAUACAUUCCCCUCCCCACCCCCAAUAGUCUCAAAUGCAUGGUUGAAGUCUGAGAAAGAAGAAAUUGUGACAGGAGCAAGAGCUGGAAGAUUUACUGCUCUAAAGAUGACUGGGUGGUAUGGUUUGGCCCUGUGUCCCCACCCAAAUCUCAUCUUGAAUUGUACUCCCAUAAUUCCCACAUGUUGUGGGGGGAACCUGGUGGGAGAUAAUUGAAUCAUGGGGGCGGUUUCUUCCAUACUGUUCUCAUGGUAGGGAAUACGUCUCACAAGAUCUGAUGGUUUGAUAUGGGGAAACAC